rnacentral:rRNA from 1 species
CAGCAGCCGCGGGAAUACGUAGGUGGCAAGCGUUGUCCGGAAUUAUUGGGCGUAGAGGGCUCGCAGGCGGUUUCUUAAGUCUGAUGUGAAAGCCCCCGGCUCAACCGGGGAGGGUCAUUGGAAACUGGGAAACUUGAGUGCAGAAGAGGAGAGUGGAAUUCCACGUGUAGCGGUGAAAUGCGUAGAGAUGUGGAGGAACACCAGUGGCGAAGGCGACUCUCUGGUCUGUAACUGACGCUGAGGAGCGAAAGCGUGGGGAGCGAACAGGAUUAGAUACCCCUGUAGUCCCUGUCUCUUAUAU